UGGUGGAGGUUAGGAGCUUCAAAUCAACCUGAUGACCUUGCGAUCCCAGUGCCCUGUGGCUGUUUGUGUCUUGCAGAGCGGGCGUACAGCCUGGCCGAGCAGUCCCGGGAGCAAAGGAUUCAGGAAGAAGAAUGGAAUAAAUAUGCUGUACCCUCAAAAAAUGAGUCUGAAAAAUAUAAAGUGAGUCGGACUUUCAGCUUUCUGAUGAACAGGAUGACUAGCACAAGGAAUAAAUGCAAG